rnacentral:rRNA from 1 species
GAUGAACGCUGGCGGCGUGCCUAAUACAUGCAAGUCGAGCGAACAGAUGAGGAGCUUGCUCCUCUGACGUUAGCGGCGGACGGGUGAGUAACACGUGGAUAACCUACCUAUAAGACUGGGAUAACUUCGGGAAACCGGAGCUAAUACCGGAUAAUAUAUUGAACCGCAUGGUUCAAUAGUGAAAGACGGUUUUGCUGUCACUUAUAGAUGGAUCCGCGCCGCAUUAGCUAGUUGGUAAGGUAACGGCUUACCAAGGCAACGAUGCGUAGCCGACCUGAGAGGGUGAUCGGCCACACUGGAACUGAGACACGGUCCAGACUCCUACGGGAGGCAGCAGUAGGGAAUCUUCCGCAAUGGGCGAAAGCCUGACGGAGCAACGCCGCGUGAGUGAUGAAGGUCUUCGGAUCGUAAAACUCUGUUAUUAGGGAAGAACAAAUGUGUAAGUAACGAUGCACGUCUUGACGGUACCUAAUCAGAAAACCACGGCUAACUACGU